rnacentral:ncRNA from 1 species
UAUCAAGAGUGGCGGAGGAACGGGUCCUGUGAAACCACGGCAACCCCUAAUUGCUAUGCAAGGAAGGUGCCAAUUCCCACGGUAUUAUCCGAGAGAUA